rnacentral:misc_RNA from 1 species
GAAAUGCGAUAAGUAGUGUGAAUUGCAGAAUUCAGUGAAUCAUCGAAUCUUUGAACGCACAUUGCGCCCCUUGGUAUUCCAUGGGGCAUGCCUGUUCGAGCGUCAUCUACACCCUCAAGCUCUGCUUGGUGUUGGGCGUCUGUCCCGCCCCCGCGCGUGGACUCGCCCCAAAUCCAUUGGCAGCGUUCCUUGCCCCCUCUCGCGCAGCACAUUGCGCUUCUCGAGGGCGGCUCCGGGACGCGAUCCAGCAAGAUGACCACCGUCUUUGACCUCGGAUCAGGUAGUGAUACCCGCUGAACUUAAGC